GAUUCCCAUACUCUUGGGGACUCUCCACAACAUGUACGAAGAGAAAAAUCAAAGGGAUAUCAAAGGGCAGAGCAUAUUUACAACAAGAUCUGGUUGUAACAGAACAGUUUUCAGGAAAAGGUCCUUUUAUUUCAACUUUGUUUAACAGUGAUUGGGGCCUACCUCUGCGCUUUGUCGACUUCCGCCCCCUGAAUUCGACACGGGAAAGUUUCCCUGAUUUGAGGAUUGA